rnacentral:rRNA from 1 species
GUAGGGAAUAUUGCGCAAUGGGGGAAACCCUGACGCAGCGACGCCGCGUGAGUGAUGAAGGCCUUCGGGUCGUAAAGCUCUGUUGCAGGGGAAUAAAAAAAUGAAGGUACCCUGUGAGGAAGGAUCGGCUAACUUCGUGCCAGCAGCCGCGGUAAGACGAGGGAUCCUAGCGUUGCUCGGAAUCAUUGGGCGUAAAGAGGGCGUAGGUGGCUUGGUAAGUCAGGUGUGAAAGCCCAGGGCUCAACCCUGGAAGUGCAUUUGAUACUGCUGAGCUUGAGUGUCGGAGAGGUUACCGGAAUACCUGGUGUAGUGGUGAAAUACGUAGAUAUCAGGUGGAACACCGGAGGCGAAGGCGGGUAACUGGACGAACACUGACACUGAGGCCCGAAAGCGUGGGGAUCAAACAGGAUUAGAAACCCCUGUAGUCC